rnacentral:rRNA from 1 species
CGCAUCUGUGCAUGCAGCAUAUCAAUAAGCGGAGGAAAAGAAACUAACAAGGAUUCCCUUAGUAACGGCGAGUGAAGCGGGAAGAGCUCAAAUUUGAAAUCUUCAAGUUUUACCUUGACGAAUUGUAGUUUAAAGAAGUGUUUUCUGCUGAAGUUUUGGUAAAAGUUCUUUGGAAUAGGACAUCAUAGAGGGUGAGAAUCCCGUAUUUGACCAUUAUUUUCAGCUUUGUGAUACACUUUCAAAGAGUCGGAUUGUUUGGGAAUGCAGUCCAAAAUGGGUGGUAAAUUUCAUCUAAAGCUAAAUAUUGGCGAGAGACCGAUAGCGAACAAGUACCGUGAGGGAAAGAUGAAAAGAACUUUGAAAAGAGAGUUAAACAGUACGUGAAAUUGUCAAAAGGGAAGCGUUUGACACCAGUGUUGUUUUCUCGAAAAUCAAUUAAAAAUGGCUCGAUUUUGUAUUGCUUGAGACCUUAAAAGCUCACUGUACAUUUUUCGUGUCUUUUUUAAUGCACUUUUCGUUUAACAAGUCAACAUCAGUUUCUUUUGUUGUAAAAGGGUCAUUGGAAGGUGGCUUUCUUUUCGGAGAAAGUGUUUAUAGCCUUUGGCCUCUGCAAUCGAAGAGACUGAGGUCUGCAGCGUAGACUCUUCGGGGUUAGAUACACUUGUGCUAAGUUAUAGCUUUUUAUAGGACAACUUGUUGACUAUAAUUAGUCUUGUAGCUUACUCGCUUAUGCUAUUUUACCUACGCUUAGGAUGUUGACGCAUGAGAUAUACGC